rnacentral:rRNA from 1 species
UACGGAGGGUGCAAGCGUUAUCCGGAUUUACUGGGUUUAAAGGGUGCGCAGGCGGAUAUGUAAGUCAGUGGUGAAAUCUCCGGGCUUAACCCGGAAACUGCCGUUGAUACUAUAUAUCUUGAAUGCUGUGGAGGUAAGCAGAAUAUGUCAUGUAGCGGUGAAAUGCUUAGAGAUGACAUAGAAUACCUAUUGCGAAGGCAGCUUACUACGCAGAUAUUGACGCUCAUGCACGAAAGCGUGGGGAUCAAACAGGAUUAG